rnacentral:sRNA from 1 species
CUUGCUGUGGCGGAACCGGUGUGGAUCGUCUCCGAACUCGGCGAGCACCCGGGGGCCCAGGGUCGGCCCCAUGCCGGGCUGA